rnacentral:rRNA from 1 species
AAUGUACCGGGGCUAAACGGAUUACCGAAGCUGUGGAUGGAUCUCGUAAGAGAUCCGUGGUAGGAGAGCGUUCUAAGGGCGUUGAAGCGGAACCGGAAGGAUUCGUGGAGCGCUUAGAAGUGAGAAUGCCGGUAUGAGUAACGAAAGACGGGUGAGAAUCCCGUCCACCGAAUGCCUAAGGUUUCCUGAGGAUGUCGACGCGGCCG